GCACUCACGAGGGACUGCCAGUGAGAGGCAGGAGGAAGGUGGGGAUGACGUCAAGUCCGCAUGGCCCUUAUGGGCUGGGCCACACACGUGCUACAAUGGCAAUGAAAAUGGGAAGCAAGGCUGUAAGGCGGAGCGAAUCCGGAAAGAUUGCCUCAGUUCGGAUUGUUCUCUGCAACUCGGGAACAUGAAGUUGAAAUCGCUAGUAAUCGCGGAUCAGCAUGCCGCGGUGAAUAUGUACCCGGGCCCUGUACACACCGCCC
rnacentral:ncRNA from 1 species